CCUUCCCCAGCCCUCUCGCUCGGGGUCCUGCGGCCCCCAGCCUGUUUGCUAUGGCUGCUACGUGCUGCUUGCCUGGGGGCGAAAGCCUUUUCUAACAACUGGGUCUGAGUCAGCUGUUGGAGGAUGAUGGGCAGAGGGAGAAGGCUGCCAUAGCAAUUUACCCACCCUUACUGCACAGCGAGUACUGUAACUCUGACAGAAAGAAAGUCUGACAGUUUAAUUGCAGAAAACAGGGGACGGGAAAACUAAGCCUUCCCAGCCAUAUUUGGCAGAAGUUCUGGAAUGAGAUUGCCAUUAGAGGAGAAAGUAGGAAGCGAACCCUCAUGAGGAGCACCUAAGAGAGAUCAGGACGCUCUAACUUGGCCAAGGGGAGACAAGGAGAACCUGGAGCUCUUGCCACCAAGGAACGGAACAGAAGUAAGCUGUCUUCUGUGUCCAUGUCACCUGGCUUCAGUUAGAAAUACAAGAAUAAACAGGAAAAUAACUUGCAGCAUAUAGUUUGAGAAUCAUCCCACCUGUUGCCUACCUGAACCAAGAACAAGAUCCUGGAGCAGGACUGUGCUGGUACUAGUUUGCUGCAGAUCUACUGGGAUCCUUAUAUUGAGAGAGACCUAAUAGUCUGUAACUUCUAGACGAAGUAAACUAUCAUGAAGUGGUCUGUAAAGCAUGUGGCAAACAUCAAGCAAAGCGUGGAGCCGUUUGUUCAUCCCGGGCACACCGAAGAUGUGAUGGAGGUCACUCGCGCCUCGCAGCCUCGCCUGGGCAGCCGAGCUCAGCGCGCACCUCUGGGCACCAUCUUUGGUGGGAAGGAAGGCUGGGAGCAAUUUCACCUCUAAGGCAAUUUCUGACAGCUGGGGCUGUGGCGAUGCCACCUACCUACCAAAAUGGAGGGCUGACUUCUGGGAAGCUCUGCCCGAGUCCGGCAUUUCUCCCAGAUUGUAUUCAGUGCCACGUGGGUACACAGCACGGCUUUCAGGAGCCGUUUUGCCGCCGACUCUCGAACUGCUUCCUCGGGGGGAGCGGUUUGGGAGCCGGGGGUCACCCCACCCCCCCACCGCGGCCCGGGGCCGGUCCGGCGCCCCGGCUGCAGGCGGGAGGGAUGCUCCCCCCUCCCGGGCGCCGGCAC